CAGCAGCCGCGGUAAUACCGGCGGCCCGAGUGGCGGUCACUAUUAUUGGGCUUAAAGCGUCCGUAGCCGGGUUGGGAAGUCCUCCGGGAAAUCUGGCCGCUUAACGGUCCGAAUGCCGGAGGAUACUCCCAGCCUAGGGAGCGGGAGAGGCCGAGGGGAUUCCCGGAGUAGGGGUGAAAUCCUAUAAUCCCGGGAGGACCACCUGUGGCGAAGGCGCUCGGCUGGAACGCGUCCGACGGUGAGGGACGAAGGCCAGGGGAGCAAACCGGAUUAGAUACCCGGGUAGUCCUGGCGGUAAACGAUGCGGACUUUGUGUCGGACAAGCUAUGAGCUUGUCCGGUGCCGGAGGGAAACCGUUAAGUCCGCCGCCUGGGGAGUACGGCCGCAAGGCUGAAACUUAAAGGAAUUGGCGGG
rnacentral:rRNA from 1 species